rnacentral:rRNA from 1 species
CUCACUCCCAUCGACCCACAGGGAGGACAUCUCGUCGCUACUGUACGCGGCAGCGCAUCCGCAGGCCGGAGCUCGCCCCCUCGCCGGAGACACGGGCGGAGACGAUGCUGGAGGCCCAGCCUCCGCCGCCCUCGAGGGCGAUGAUGCUCGCCGACCUCAACGUCGACCCGCCGGAGAGCGACGGCGAGGAUCACCCACCAACCCCCAAACCCAACCCCGCCAUCGCCGCCGCGGCCGUAGCAGCCGCCGCCGCUGCUCCGGUGGUCCCCGUCGACUCCUCCACUAGGAGUUGCAACGAGGAGGGUAGUUUGGCAAAAAACACGACCGUGGUGAAGGAGCCUGAUACUGUUGAAUGCGAAGAUGUCGAGCAACAUUGUCCAGGGGCUUCCGUUUCACGCGAGGAGAAAGUUAGCAACCUGAAAGCUGCUCUAGUAAAUGUUGCCCGGAAGAUGCCUAAGAAUGCUCAUGCCCAUUUUAUGUUGGGUUUGAUGUACCAAAGGCUUGGUCAGCCACAGAAGGCAAUAAUAGCAUAUGAUAAGUCGUCUGAAAUAUUGCUACAAGAUGAACAAGAAGUGCGGAGGCCUGAUUUACUCUCAUCAGUGAGGAUUCACCAUGCUCAGUGUAUUUUGCAAGCAAGCAUGGGUGAUAGUUUUGACGAAGAGCUUGACACUAGUGAAUUGAGUGAAAUCCUUGUUAAGCUGAAGAGUUCAGUUGAAUUGGACCCCAGGCAGGCCGCUGUUUGGAACAUUCUCGGUUUAGUUCUUCUUCGGGGUGGUCAACUUCAGAGUGCUAUCUCAGUUUUUUCUACUCUCACGACUGUUGCUCCAGAUUACCUGGACUCGCUUGCCAAUCUUGGUGUUGCAUAUAUUCAAAGUGGGGAUCUAGAAUUGUCCACAAAAUGCUUUCAAGAGCUCGUUCUGAAAGAUCAAAGUCACCCAGCUGCUCUGGUGAACUACGGUGCUCUCCUUCUAUGUAAAUAUGGGUCUUUGGCCGCAGGGGCAAGUGGUACUGUCAGUGCAGGGUCUUAUCUGCAUCAGAAAGAAGCCUUAGUUGCUGCAAAAGAGUGCUUACUUGCAGCUGUGAGGUCUGAUCCUAAAGCUGCAUCGAUAUGGGUCAAUCUUGCAAAUGCAUAUUACAUGGCUGGUGAACAUAGAAAUUCAAAGAGGUGUUUGGAGCAGGCAGCAAAAUUUGAACCCAAUCAUAUGCCUGCCCGGUAUGCUAUUGCAGUUCACCGUAUCAGAGAUGCUGUAAGAUUGCAAUGUUCUGAUGAUCAGCUUAUCUGGGCUGCAAAUGAGAUGGCAACGGUUCUAAAAGAAGGAGACACUUCAGUAGUUGAUCUCCCAGUUGCAUGGGCGGGGUUGGCAAUGGCUCACAGGGCACAGCAUGAAAUUGCAGCUGCUUAUGAUGGUGAACAGACAAUUCUAAAUGAGGCAGAAGAGCGAGCUCUUUAUACACUAAAGCAGGCAAUCCAAGAGGACCCGGAUGAUGCUGUUCAAUGGCAUCAGCUUGGCUUAUACAAUAUGUGCACAACUCAGUUUAGUCGAUCUGUAAAUUUUCUCAAGGCUGCAAUAGCUCGUUCCCCAGAAUGCUGCUAUGCUUGGUCUAAUCUCGGUAUUGCGUUGCAGUUAUCGAAUGAUCCGUCCUCUGAAACUGUGUAUAAACGGGCACUAGUGCUAUCGUCAAGCCAGCAGUCGUACGCAAUCCUCUCGAACAUUGGGAUCCUUUAUCGGCAGCACAGGCUGUAUGAACUUGCAAGAAAGAUGUUAUCCAGGUCUUUGGAAAUUUGUCCCGGAUACGCCCCAGCCAACAACAAUCUGGGGCUUGUGUUUGUCGCGGAGGGCCGUUGGGAGGAUGCUGUAAGCUGUUUCGAGAAGGCUGUCAAGUCUGACGACUUGCUUGAUGCUGCCAAAUCGAACUUGGCAAAAGCCCUUGCGUUGGCUAAGAAACAGUAGAGCAAGAGAUGAUGAACGGUGAUGACCUUUCAUCCAUUGCGCUGGAGCUUCGAACAGGAAGGACCUGUCCAUGCAAACCUCGUAUCUGGAAUGUCAACUUUCAAGGGGCCAACUCAGAAGCUAUGCUUGGUGACUCUAAGGCUGCUCCCAUCCGUGUGCAGCGGAUCAGCCCCCAGGCUCCGCAGUUGCGCUGGUAGGUUUUCUGUGGCCGGUCACUCGGAAAGGGAAGAGUUUGAAGAAAUUCUGGAGUAGGAUUUGACUGUAAGUUUGUAACAAGCAUGCGACAUGAACAUGAACCGACUGUACCUGUACCCUGUACAUAACACCUCAAAGUUUUAGCUACAAACACAACUCACUUUCACUGUAAGAUCAGUUGUCACAACGCCGUCUCUUUUUUUUUUUGGCGACACCAUCUCCGGUUUGAAGUUGUGUUAACACCAGUAUCAGUAUUCAGUAGUACUCCCUCCGUCCGGAAAAGCUUGUCCCUCAAAUGGAUAUAUCUAGCACCAAGUUAGUGCUAGAUACAUCCAUUUGAGAGACAAGCUUGGGACAAGUUUUUCCGGACGGAGGGAGUAUCACCUGAGAGUUUGUAUGAGUUCCUGGUUCCCCACUACUUCCUCUAUUCACUAAUAUAAGAUGUUCUAAUUCUUUUCUGAAUAGGAUGUAUAUAGACAUGUUUUAGUGUGUGUGUUCACUCAUUUCAGUCUGUAUGCAGUCUUUGAAAUAUCUAAAACAUCAUAUAUUUGUGAACAGGGGGAGUACUAUGGAAGCAACUUAUUUCCCCACAACAUAUGGUGCCUUUGUUCCACCAAAUUUCCUCUGUUGCUCUUUUAAUUUGACACCAAGUCCAGUUCCCUGUCCUUUUCAGUUAUUGCCG